GCCCGAUUGGCACAAUGGUCAGCGCGUGAGACUUUUAUAUCAUCCCCUCCUUGAAUUCAAUGAGGGAUAUAUGGAGAUCUCAAGGUUACGAGUUCGACCCUCGUAUCGGGCG